AAUCCAUAGGUUAAUGAGGCGAACCGGGGGAACUGAAACAUCUAAGUACCCCGAGGAAAAGAAAUCAACCGAGAUUCCCCCAGUAGCGGCGAGCGAACGGGGAGGAGCCCAGAGCCUGAAUCAGCAUGUGUGUUAGUGGAAGCGUCUGGAAAGGCGCGCGAUACAGGGUGACAGCCCCGUACACAAAAGCGCAUGUGCUGUGAGCUCGAUGAGUAGGGCGGGACACGUGGUAUCCUGUCUGAAUAUGGGGGGACCAUCCUCCAAGGCUAAAUACUCCUGACUGACCGAUAGUGAACCAGUACCGUGAGGGAAAGGCGAAAAGAACCCCGGCGAGGGGAGUGAAAAAGAACCUGAAACCGUGUACGUACAAGCAGUGGGAGCACCCUUUGGGUGUGACUGCGUACCUUUUGUAUAAUGGGUCAGCGACUUAUAUUCUGUAGCAAGGUUAACCGAAUAGGGGAGCCGGAGGGAAACCGAGUCUUAACCGGGCGUUAAGUUGCAGGGUAUAGACCCGAAACCCGGUGAUCUAGCCAUGGGCAGGUUGAAGGUUGGGUAACACUAACUGGAGGACCGAACCGACUAAUGUUGAAAAAUUAGCGGAUGACCUGUGGCUGGGGGUGAAAGGCCAAUCAAACCGGGAGAUAGCUGGUUCUCCCCGAAAGCUAUUUAGGUAGCGCCUCGUGAAUUCAUCUCCGGGGGUAGAGCACUGUUUCGGCUAGGGGGCCAUCCCGGCUUACCAACCCGAUGCAAACUGCGAAUACCGGAGAAUGUUAUCACGGGAGACACACGGCGGGUGCUAACGUCCGUCGUGAAGAGGGAAACAACCCAGACCGCCAGCUAAGGUCCCAAAGUCAUGGUUAAGUGGGAAACGAUGUGGGAAGGCCCAGACAGCCAGGAUGUUGGCUUAGAAGCAGCCAUCAUUUAAAGAAAGCGUAAUAGCUCACUGGUCGAGUCGGCCUGCGCGGAAGAUGUAACGGGGCUAAACCAUGCACCGAAGCUGCGGCAGCGACACUGUGUGUUGUUGGGUAGGGGAGCGUUCUGUAAGCCUGUGAAGGUGUGUCGUGAGGCAUGCUGGAGGUAUCAGAAGUGCGAAUGCUGACAUAAGUAACGAUAAAGCGGGUGAAAAGCCCGCUCGCCGGAAGACCAAGGGUUCCUGUCCAACGUUAAUCGGGGCAGGGUGAGUCGACCCCUAAGGCGAGGCCGAAAGGCGUAGUCGAUGGGAAACGGGUUAAUAUUCCCGUACUUGGUGUUACUGCGAAGGGGGGACGGAGAAGGCUAUGUUGGCCGGGCGACGGUUGUCCCGGUUUAAGCGUGUAGGUGUGUGUUCCAGGUAAAUCCGGUUCACUUUAACACUGAGGCGUGACGACGAGGCACUACGGUGCUGAAGCAACAAAUGCCCUGCUUCCAGGAAAAGCCUCUAAGCAUCAGGUAACAUCAAAUCGUACCCCAAACCGACACAGGUGGUCAGGUAGAGAAUACCAAGGCGCUUGAGAGAACUCGGGUGAAGGAACUAGGCAAAAUGGUGCCGUAACUUCGGGAGAAGGCACGCUGACACGUAGGUGAAGUGAUUUACUCAUGG
rnacentral:rRNA from 1 species